GGGGCUGUAGCUUAGUGGCAGAGUGCUUGCCUGGCAUGUGGGAGGUGCUAGGUUCAAUCCUCAGCACCA
rnacentral:tRNA from 1 species